rnacentral:rRNA from 1 species
GAUGAACGCUGGCGGCGUGCCUAAUACAUGCAAGUCGAGCGAACAGACGAGGAGCUUGCUCCUCUGACGUUAGCGGCGGACGGGUGAGUAACACGUGGAUAACCUACCUAUAAGACUGGGAUAACUUCGGGAAACCGGAGCUAAUACCGGAUAAUAUAUUGAACCGCAUGGUUCAAUAGUGAAAGACGGUUUUGCUGUCACUUAUAGAUGGAUCCGCGCCGCAUUAGCUAGUUGGUAAGGUAACGGCUUACCAAGGCAACGAUGCGUAGCCGACCUGAGAGGGUGAUCGGCCACACUGGAACUGAGACACGGUCCAGACUCCUACGGGAGGCAGCAGUAGGGAAUCUUCCGCAAUGGCGAAAGCUUGACGGAGCAACGCCGCGUGAGUGAUGAAGGUCUUCGGAUCGUAAAACUCUGUUAUUAGGGAAGAACAAAUGUGUAAGUAACUAUGCACGUCUUGACGGUACCUAAUCAGAAAGCCACGGCUAACUACGUG